AGUUUCCUGUUUCUUCUGUUGGAUAGUUCAUCUUUAACCUGUGGUUCUUUGUGUGAUUCUUUCCACAUAGAUCAAGUGAAAGAAAUAGAAGUUUUAUUGAGGGUAAAAGAGAGCCCGUUGGCACAAUGACAGGAGAAAGCCUUUGAAAGCACAGAGUGUUACGGUGUCUUUUAGGAACUUAAAAGCUCAAAGACCUUUGUUUAUUAUACUGGCGGAAAGUGGAGAGUACCUGGACCUGCUUUUCCAUUGAUGAGAAGAUAGAAUCAGAGAUGGAUAUUCUGACUUCACCCCACAAGAGCUUCUCCCAUACACAAUAACCUGCUGGCACGCUAGUAAAACAGCGGAUUCAAAUUCAGUGUGAAAAUCUGAGUUAUAUUUAUGAAAGCCAUUAAGUGUAGUGGCGAAGAACACAGGUUCUAAAACUAGAUGACCUGGGUUCAAAUUAAAAUCUGAGCUUUAUUAGAUUUGUGACCUAGAGCAAAUUUUGUAAGCUCUCUAUGCUUUCAUUGCUUCAUCUUUGCAGAAAAAAAGGGGAGGUGGUUAGUAAUAAAUCCUG
rnacentral:lncRNA from 1 species